rnacentral:rRNA from 1 species
UACGGAGGGGGCUAGCGUUGUCCGGAAUUACUGGGCGUAAAGAGCUCGUAGGUGGUUUGUCGCGUUGUCCGUGAAAACUCACAACUCAAUUGUGGGCGUGCGGGCGAUACGGGCAGACUGGAGUACUGCAGGGGAGACUGGAAUUCCUGGUGUAGCGGUGGAAUGCGCAGAUAUCAGGAGGAACACCGGUGGCGAAGGCGGGUCUCUGGGCAGUAACUGACGCUGAGGAGCGAAAGCGUGGGGAGCGAACAGG